rnacentral:tRNA from 1 species
GGUGGUUCAGAAGUAGAGCACUUGCCUUGCAUGCAUGAGGCCCUGGGUUCGAUUCCUCAGCACCA